AACGCACAUUGCGCCCCUUGGUAUUCCAUGGGGCAUGCCUGUUCGAGCGUCAUUUGUACCUUCAAGCUAUGCUUGGUGUUGGGUGUUUGUCCUUGGCCCUUUAGGGUAGGACUCGCCUUAAAGUAAUUGGCAGCCAGUAUUUUGGUUUGAAGCGCAGCACAAGUCGCGAUUCAAGCCGAAGUAACAGCUUCCAUCAAGUUAUUUAUCACUUUUGACCUCGGAUCAGGUAGGGAUACCCGCUGAACUUAA
rnacentral:misc_RNA from 1 species